GCAUUGGUGGUUCAGGUAGAAUUUUUACCUUCCAUGCAGUUGACCUGGGUUCAUUUCCCAGCCAAUGCG
rnacentral:tRNA from 1 species